AAAUUUGAAGUCAUGUAUUACUAUACAAUACAUGGAUGGUGUUUUGGUUACAGAGUCAAAUUUAUGCAUUAGUUUAGAUUCUUGAUCUCUGAACGUCUGUUAUAGAAGGAUUAGAAUUGAACAUUAUAAGUUGUAAAACCAGUUAAACUUAUAGAUUGAAGCUAGUAAAUGGAGCUAGUGAGUAUAGCUAGAUGCAUUACAUUUACUUCUAGAUGUGCUUUGUAUAUAUACAAAGUUAGAAAUGUUAGUUCUGUAGAACACGUAAGAAUUAUCGCAGGUAUGUCAAAUAGUUUAUUAUGGUAAAUUAGUUGUACUAAUUUAAAGGAGCCAUGUAAGUGUAUUUGAUUUAGUCGACCAAAAGGUUAGAGCGCCAUCUUCGGCGACAGACUUUUAUAGACAGAGUUUCAAAGUCAAACAAUGAUCAAUGAAGAACAAUGAGAAAUCGAUGAUUAAUUGCAACAUAUUCUUAGCUGCAGACAAGUUAAUUGACUAAAAGGAGGCAAGAAGUUUUCACGGAGUGAAAAGAACAGAGUUAAAAGAAAGGAGUCAAAGAAAGGAAGCUACGCUCCUACCAAAGAAUAAAAGAACACUCCCGUAAAAA